GGGAAAAGUGCAUUUUCACCUGGUCUUCGUGACAGGUUUUUUUUUUUUUGUAAAUUUUAUAACUUUUGAACAAAUUAUUUUUACUGCUCAACCAUAGUUCAUUAUUGCCAGUCUGCCGUAUUGAUUUUACUAUAAUCGAACUUAAAAAUACACAGUGGUUCAAAAGUUAUAGAUCAAUGAAAUCGUCGAUCUCGCAAUGUGUGACAACCUAACGGUCCAAAAAGUAAGUAUGACGAGCUACAAUUAAUACUGUGUACGAGUGUCGUUUAUUGACUUGAGUAAUAAGUUUUUAAUUAUUUUUUUGGUCUUAUAAAAUUAUUUAAUCUUUAUAAAUACCAAAUUACGAAAACUCCUGAUUAACGAGACAUGGCCUUGCGUUCUAACCUAACGUUUCCUCAUACUGCAGGCGACUUAUACAACGUGAUCAAUUUUUCAAAAAAUUCAAAUUAAAAAAAAAAACGUCUAUCGCAAAAAUUCAAAAAACAUUCCCCAGCAGAUUCAUCAUAAUCCUAUUUUUUAGGUUGAAGUUCCUCUCUUCGAAAAGUCCAUCACCUUGACGACCGAAAGACGCACGAUAGAAGUUUGAAAAAAAAAAGAAGCGACCAAGGUCACACAACGGCUGCACCUUAUCAAGGCCAGCAGAGUCGUGACCUGAGAUAACGAAUCCGUCCAGAUCAUAAAAUUCCGCAAUUCCAAUAAAUCAUAAGCAACCACAAAGCUAAAUCAUGAGAUUUUCAAUGAAUCUACACACAGAGACCAGCCAGCCAGUCUCCGCGUCCGUGCGCAAGAGUCUCCGCAUAGUUUCAGUGCCUAAUCUAUUUUCGCAACGCACUCCUGUGCAGGCCAGUGCACUUACGACCGUCUAUUCCCCGAACGAAAUCGGAGGACCCGGAGCGUUUCUUGGAAAAGUGUCGGGGAGAUAACUUCAGAGCAAUUACAACGUCUGAGUCAGUAAUUGGACAAGCUGCAGCAUCUGCGACUGCACCUGCGUCCUCGGCUGUAAUUCUCUGCUGUGGCUAUAGGAACGAUGAACGAAAGAAUCAAUGCCAAGAGGUGCUGCCAAUUAAUUUCACCGUCCGUAUUUUUCUCUGGAUAAAAUUUAAUUGUCAAAGUCGACGUCAACCUCUCACGCGGCUGCGGAAGGAUCGAGAGAGCAAAGGGAUUAAGGGCUCGACGUUUAUUCGGCUCGUGACUACCUACCUCCUCUCGUCUGAUGCGGUCCUGAGCUUUGUCACCCAUCGUGUAAUUAAUAUUCAUACGUACGCAUUAUGGGUAUGAUCCCUCCAUACUCUGCUGCUACCAGUUUACAAGCAUUGCUGUACUAGGACCAGUGUCAACUUCUCCUGCCAGAGGGAACCCCUUGAACCCAUCGAGGGCACUACGAUACCAGGAGUCCAUGCGAUGCAGGACCAAGAUUAUUGGAUGACACACAAAAGUGCAGGUGGAUGUCGCCCCGCAGUUCGUCUUCUGUUUCUGGAAGAAUAACCGCGCGACGAUGGCACCUUGUCGACGACCAGGGCGGACGGGGCUUGCUUUUCCUGGAACCGAGAGUAUCUACCUAUCGUAUCCAGACACGAAGUGUGCUCCUUCGGCUGGUCCGCACCGCCUCUUGACGUCGGGGUUCCGCCCCGCGAGUUUGACGGCCUGCCCUCCGCGGGAGCCGCCCCCGCUCUUCGAACAGGAAUACAGGAACUCGAAGAAACCGUUGAUCUGGCUCUUUGUGGUUGGGCUCGGUAGGAGACCUUCCUGAUCCUGUAAGUUUCUUGCCCUCGUAGUUCCUUCGUUAUCCCAUUGCCACCUCCUAGAGACAGCCAUUUGCAAUACCCCGGAGAUAUCAGGAGCUUAAGUUAUAGUACGUCAAACUUGAGUCCUCUGGCGAUCGAAAAUCAUUAAUUAUAAAUAAAGCAAGAAAAAAUAUUUAAAAACCCAACUCGAUCAGCUUACAUUAUUCUUUUCAUUUUGUUACCGAUCACUAUUUACCGGUCGGUUAAUUACGGAUCCUCCAUCAACCCUUAUUUGCCUAAUGGAAUUUGUGUCCACAUGAAAACGAUGCUCUCCCUCGUCGUGGCUCUAUAAUAGCACCCGCAUCAGUCAACCCCAACGCCCAUAAGCUUCUCACACUUAUCAUUAACCUGGUACAGUACCCCUCCAGUGCCGUAGGAAUUAGGCUGUAAUGGCCUGGAGGCGUACACAAGCACGAGACGUGUCCCUGAUACCGGGAAGAGCCGAAAGCCGGCGCGGCGCGCAUGGGCUAAGUAUGGCGAAGCAGGGAGGAGAGAAUUGGCCGUCCAUGCCCAGAGACGAAGGGCCGCAUGCGUAAUAGGGCCAGUACCGUCGGUGCGUGCCAACUGGGUGCGUGGAUGCUGACGGUUGACGAAGGGUCGUACGGAGAUCAAGGGGGAAACGCGACGGCCCGGAAUAUCAUACCCGGAUGGUAACCCCCGGGAGGGAUGGAGAUUCAGUUUACAGUGAAAUCAGCUAAACUGGGGUGGUAUGGGGUUGGACGAAGGGCGAGCACGUGUGGCCAAAAGGGUGCGACUUCGUCCACGGCCAGCCCUCGGGGAGACCGCGCCCACGCAUUUUCAACAGGAUUACAGAAUGCGACAAGAGUUCGGUUGGCCUUGAAUCUUCCGCCGCGGGGACCUUCGAAGGGCCAAGGGACUCCGUGCUGCCUUCUACUUGUCUCUCGCGCCGCAACGGCCGAUUUCAUCGGAAGGGGCGGAGAGAAACUGGUUUUUAAAGCCCACGGGCGUUCCUAAGUGUCCCGCUGGUGUGUACGGAUAAUUGCCACUGUGAAUGGGAGUUGGUUGCCCCUUAGUCCCAACGCUCUCCCACUGCCGGGUCGGUGCCUUUUUCUUGCAGGCAAAGGCAGGGCGCGCUGUUGUCGCUGUCGAUAAACACGAGUCUGACAAUGUAAAAAAUAUAUAUAUUUCGACAUAAGCCCACGUAGAAUCGACAACUUACCCUAUUUUCUCUUACCUGAACAAAAAGUGUAUUCCAAUCCGUUUUGCGUUAUAUAACCUGAAAGGUCAGCAAUGGCCGACGUUAACGGCCCUGUGCGUUUUAGGGUCCUCGUAACCUUUGACUUUACGUAUAUCCCACUUUAUAGUCCUACGCUUGAUCUCUGAGAACGAGAGAACCCACCCACGCAUUUUGAACAGGACUUCAGAAUUCGUGGGUAGGUACCCAUAGGGCAUGCAUAGACGGUGGGAGCCCUUGAAGGGACUAAUCGAGCCUACGACAUAAGCAUUAGCUGAGAAGGGAUUGAUCCAUUAGAUUUUCAUACUCUCCUGUCGUCAAUCUUCAACGUUUCGGAGUCAAUUUUCAGAUACUAUCGAUACUGAUAUUUUUUAUCAAGAAAUUUAUACCAGUUCGUCCGGGCUAUUCGUGAACAAAUAUCUUAUCAGAAUCAACAUCGAUUUUUGACGCUAUACGAUUUUUAUUAUUAACACGCCCAUAAGACGCUUAUGACUUCGCGUAAGGGAUUACAGGCGGUGGAGCGAGGCUGGGGAGCAGGAGGGCCGCAACGAUGGAACAGGGACGUCAUGACGAUCCUGAAAGGGGGUUGCUAGGGCUGCAGGAAGAUUUUCACGAAAUAUGACAGCUACGUCAUAACGCGAACUCCUACUCCUCCUGCUAUCCUACUUUCCCGAGUAUGAAAGAUAUGAAUCGUCAUAUCUCCCCCAUCAAGCCUUCCAAGCGUCACGUAUAUUAGAAAUACAUAAGAUUAUCCUUCCGUGUACUAGAAAAUUGGACAUUGAAGGAAACAAAGGUAACUCUAUGGAAUGUCAUUUUGCAGCCUCGCAGAAAAAGAUUUUCAACUGCGCGAUAAAUGAUAAUUACAAAAGAUCGAUCUAGACCGCAGCUUAUUCUACUCGAAAUAAAAGAUUUACAGUGGUAUUGAAUUCUUUUGAAUUAUGAAUAUUUUGCUUUCAGGUACGUCGAAUUUUUUGGCUCGAGGUGACAAGGAACUUCUUCGAGCACCAUGUUGUGCGUAUAUAUAUAUAUAUGCAUGGUACGGUAGAUUUACCACGAGAAAGUUCCACCUCCUCCGUUAGCAAUAUGCGACUCUGGUUCUUCAAGUUUCCCGCGCUGGCACCUCUUUCACUCGUUUAUUCUCCUGCUACGCCGAUGUAACGGAGUUGUUUACACUGCGCAUGUAAUAUUCCACCAUACUAGUCCGCGCCCGUUACCACCCGUUCGUACAUCGCGGGCUGGAGGGACGUUAGCAACCCUAUUUUUCUUUACAAGCUGCAAGUUUUUGCAACGCUCCCACCUGUUCGAUUCGAACGUCGACGGCGCCAUUUUGGAAUUUAGUUACCAGAAAUUGAAGAAGAGAUGCCGAGAAGGGAUGAAUAUGUCUCCGGUUGAUCGUCCCAAGGAAACAGGAGUCCAUAGUCGUAGUGACGGAAGAAAAUGGUUUAGCGAAACGUUACAUUUGAAUUUUAUAUAAUUCUCAUAGAAAAUAUUGUCAUUUAAAUAAUUGGAGAAUCGUGUUCGCUACUGUACCUGAUGCUCGCUGAUUGUGAGAUUGAUUAAUUGAAAGCUGAGCAAAGUUGAAAAGUACUGCUCUUUUUCGUAGGACGCGGAGAAUAAAAAUGGGCGGACAGUCCAAGUCUAUCGAUUUAAUCGGGAAAGAUCAGGAUAGCAGAGUAUGAAGGGCGGUUUAAUCUGACAUAAAUUACAGUAAUUACAUUGGAACAGCAGGAACACAUAAGGAGCCAAUGGGAUCCUUCGCUGGGACCCUUACUAUUAUCAUUGUAACCGAGGCCAGCCGGUUCCCGUGAAUACGGCAGAAAUGGCUGCAGAGAAAAAUACCAAGAGAUUCUGACCUGCAGGAACUGGUGGAAUGGAGGAUUACCGCGAGUAUACGUAGAGAAAAGUCUGCUUAGAACGGACCCUGAAGACAAGACAGAGGUAAACAAGUGUAGUAAGAAAACACGCGAGGGCAAGAAGUGGCAGUGAAACCCUCAGCCCUAUGUCCCGUAUCCCGAAGUGAACGUCUGUCAAAGAGACGAAGUAACACGGUGGGGAGUAAGAAAGAUGAGGAGUUCUUUUACUGCAAUAAAAAUCACUACUACGCGGUAGGACGGAUGCUACGUGGGAUUUGAUUGUCGAGCUCUGGAAAUAUUAGAAUACUCGAAUAAGUAAGGUUCCCAUACAUUCUUUUUAGCCUCUGCUCAAAAACCAAAAACUCUGCUGCAGACCUAAGCAGAGUCAAAGCAAUGACUAAUAAACACCGAAGGAAGUCCUAUGAAGAAAUAAAAUAGAAGCUGUAAAAUUCUAAUCGUCGAAUCCGAGUGGAAGCCAAGAGAAUUGCAAUACAAGUUUCAUCAGGAUCACAUCCUGCCACGGAGCAUUUGCCUAGGUGUCCGGUGUUAAGGACAAAGGAUCACGUGAAAAGAGGAAGUUCAAGGAACAGCGGUACACCACUCGUCGAGAUGAUAUCCUUAUGGGAAAGGAUACGUAUCCUUGUUAAGAGGAAACAGAAUGGAGGAUACACCGAUUUCAGUAUUUUGAAUAAAGGAAGAAUUAACGAUAAAAGGUAUGGGACUAAGGAACAGCGAUACGAUUCUCAUCAGGAUGACAUCCUUUCAGAAGGACUAGACGUAUCUGUUUAAGAGAGGUUCCUGGUAUUCCUGUAGGACACACCUAUUCCGGCAUUCGCACCAGACACUUGAGAAAGCGUAUGUUAAAAUGGAGGAGAGUUCAAGAAAUGGCGAUACACUUCUCAUCAGGACCUCAUCCUUGCAGGAAGGAUAUGAAACGUACCGGAGGGAGGUACCCGUUAAGGAUACACCUAUCCCGGUGACGGGAAUAAAGGACAGGAAGGAUGUGAAAGGAAAAGUUGAACGAAUGACGAUACAGCACUCAUCAGGAUCACAUCCGGUAACGAAGGACUUUUUAGUAAAGGAAUAAAGUGGUUUAGACGUACGAACGGUUAAACCCAACAUCCUAUAGGAUGGAUGUGCGGGAAAGGACGGGUCUCGAGAGCGAAUAGCGAUACAGCCAGCACCAGGAUAACAUCCAGUCCUGUAGGGUUCCGCAAGGCGGACACCUGGGAAGUCAGGGACUCGAAACCACGCAAGGUGAAUAUCCCAGUGCCAGGAUACCAUGCCCUGAAAAAAAGAAAUACUCCUAAAUAAACCAAGGCUUUACUUAUUCCUGAUACAACGACAAUCAGGAUCACAUCCGUUACAGGACGUUUUCUCUAGCAAUGGAGUAAUACUAAAUUGUUCGUUGGUUGCUAUUUUACUCCGUCCAUACUCAAAACAGCUUCUAGGUAUCCAGGGAGAAUUGGGUACGUAUUAAAAAAAAAAAACGAUCAACCGUCCUAUUUCGUAACGGGCUGUUCACGAAGAUAAAUAUGUUGCCACGAGUGUUCGUGGUUUCAUAAAUCAACGAACACGCUACGUACAGCUGUGACGUAUGACGAAAAACAGGAGACCAAACUGGCCUGCACGACUGGUUCCAUUCGAGGCAGCAUCAAGAUAUGAAAAAAAUGAAAAGUGAUAUCCGCGCGAGCAGGAGACCAGAGUCAGCAUGGAGUUUAUACACCAGGGAAAAACUGCUGGCAUUUGCCUGCGUCUACCUUCCUUUGGCCGUGUCCCAAAAGUCCUCACCAUCCUCGGUAACCCGUGAAAUCUUCAAUGACGUCACACCAAAACAGUUUCCUCUCAGAAGGAUGGUGGAGUAGAGUUUCCACAGCAGUCUAUACGAACGCAGUGUAAGGAAGCUUAGGAAUGUAGAAGGUCCAGAGGGAGAAAUGGCGGCUCUAUUAAAUCUGUGCACCGGUAAAAUAAAGCAUAAAAGGAUCAAUAUGGGAGUGGCAAGGAUCGCCGUUUCCCCCUCAGCGUAUUGGCGAUAUCAAGUCUGCGGUUAGAGCUCCCCAGGACUCCCCACUACUCGUAGUCGCUCUCAUACUUUACCCCCAUUGUAAAUACCGGCGCGACGUAAUGCCCCUGCAAUUAGUUUCGCUCCAUUGAGUUCUAAAUGCGGAGACUUGGUCAUCAGGAAUGCAGACACUCCGAGGAGGAUCGGAGGAUCCUUGGUGUAGGGACAUAGAAUCGUGUUGCAUCCUUGCGGAUUAGUCCUGCUACCCUGGCCCUUGUCGCCGGCUUUCUUAUUAAUAUGCUAAUUUUACUUGGUGGGAGCUAGCUACGAAUUGUACCUACUUGCUCCUGGUUAUAAAUAUGGUACUGAACGAAUGCUAGAAUAUUGAUGCCUGUGUGAUUGCGGUCACGUGUAAUACGAUACAGCUGAGACCAGGA